CUCGGGCCACCAUGGCCACCCCACAGCCACCAGCACCCACCUUAUGGCCUCCACCACCCUCUCACCCCCACCCUGCAGCCACCCUGCUCUCCACUGAUUUGGGCUAGGGCCAACAAUGUCAAGUAACAGGAUAGUCUGGAAACGCUCUUCCUUAUGUCACUAUCUUCUUGGAUUUGCUGUGACUUUUCUGCUCUUUUGAUGGCAGGGAGCCUGCCUUGAUCUCUGCAAUCAGGAAUGUGGCUGAGCAAAUGCAGCUUGUACCUGCUGGAUGGAUACAUCUCCCAGAUGCUCUGUUGCUAGAAGGUUCCUGGCAGUGCAGGGAAAGGUGGCUCUGCAGGUGGAGGCUCCACAUAAUGGGCUCAAAACGUCUGGUCCAGUGGUUAAAAGCUGUUCACAGGGGUGACUGGACCCCACUAAGCAUUCUUUCGUCUGUACUGAAUAUUUCACCAAAAACAGCUCUAGGAAAGGCUGGAGGAUCAGUACUAUGUGCUCAAGCCAUGGCCACGCCCUCCAUCUUCCACCUGACUCAGACGGGGGGGCUGAAGGCCACAGCCACCCCAGGAUAAAGGACAUCAGGAAGGCCACCGGGGGCCUGAGGAACAUGUGCGUGAAGCAGAUGGGAAAGGAGCUGCAGGUUCAUUGUGGUCCUUGAGGGAAAAGCUGAGGGCCCAGCCGUGGUCCCGCAAGUGUAAGUAACCCGCUCUGCAGGGUGAACACGCACCCAGUGCCGCCCAGGAAGCUGCCAGUCAGGAUUGGGCGCAGUCUCUGGAAGGAACUCCAGGAGACAGUGUGGCCUCCACAGCAUUAGGCAGCCAAGGAGAUGCAAACACGUCUGCUGUAGAUGCUGACGAUGAGACCCCCUCUUUCCAGCCAGGGCCUGCUGGUUUCUUCUCAGAGCACACUCAAGAGAGGCCAUCUGUCCCUUGAGAGGCUGUUGACCAAAAGAGGCUGAAGAAGGAUGUGGAGCCCAGCUGCAGCGGGACCAGCCUGGGGCCUGAUGAGAGCUUGGCCCAGAACCCCCAAGUUCAUCAUUCACAAUGAUGCCUCAGAAACCCUCCCAGAGCCCCUCCACCCUCCGACGGAUGUCACCCUGAAGCCAGACACAGAAGCUGUGCAGGGCGAACACAGCAACACCAGCCCUCCGUCCCUCAGCUGAGUCAUUCUGUCAGCACUGGGGGCCCAAGAUCUCCUCGACUGCUGCACUCCUACUGCUUCUGCUCCCGGGGGAACAGGAGCACGGGUGCUGCCUGCGGGAGCAGGUGGAGAAGAACGGCGAGCUGAAGAGGGGCAGCCGCCGACAGCCAGGUGCACACGCUGCAGGAGGAGCUGGACGAGCUGAAGGGAGGGGGCUCCCUGCCUUAGCAGCCUGGCGCCCCCAGCCGAGGUCAGUCCCGGUGCUCGGGGCUCCCCCACUGCCUGCUCAUCAUGAGGGGUUUCCUGCUCCGCAGCAGACGGCCCCUGAGCACUUCUGUGUGCAGCAUGCCUGUUGCUGUCUUGGGAGAAGGCUCUGCUGGUAGCCGCCCCUCGCAGACAGGGAGCCCAGGUUGCAGAGCUCACCCCGCUCGCUCUAGGGCGCUCGAGAGGCAGCGGUAGUUGUUGGAGUUUAGCAGGUGGGGAAGGAGGCAUUGCAGGUCAGCUGUGAAAGCCAGACCUAUGCAAUGAAUGGUUCCUGGACGGUUGGUUUUCCACUUGAACAGGAGAAAAUCAGCUUCUGUUGCAUCCCUCAAACAAAUGUAAAUUUCAAUGAGUU